rnacentral:misc_RNA from 1 species
AUGAUUAUAGAAUUUGCAUGCCUGAGAAUUUUUUUUUUAAUUCCCGAUGUGGAUUUAGAUUCCCAACAAGUACACUCCCCAAAUUUAAUUUUAAAAUUGAAUAAAAUUUUUUCAAGCUUUAAAAUAUUAGUUAAUUGUGCCAAAUUUAAAAUGAUUGGUACAAUAAGCUCCCACUAAGAUUUGAACUUGAUACUCGAGACGAUUUCAUGACUAUUAAGUUGAAGCUCAUUGAUCUCCUUUGCUUGAUUUUAAGGAUUCUGAAGAUUACUUCUUUUGUAAUUAGCUUUUCUUUUUCAUCUUCUGCUGUGCUUGUUUGCAAAAUAACUUACACUUGAGGUAUGUGAUCAAAAUGAUCAGAUCCUAUUUUAAGGAACAAUCAAAACAUGGUUGGCAGCUUUCUUCAGCCCGACUCAUAUAUUGAACAAAAUAAAAACUUGAAACAUGUAGGACUAUAUUCUGUUCUGAAUGGCAAUGACUUUGGUCUGUUCCACCACUGCAUAUGAGAUCUGAUGCCAUCAUUUACACAGCUUCAAUCAAAAAAUGCUGAUGCUACUGCCACGUCAUUGCUUUAUCAUACGAAGCUCCCAGUUACCUUCACCAUCAAUAAGCCGUAAUUCCACAGAA